AGCGAAAUCUGCCAUGGUUAGUGGGGGACAACGUUCUCGAAAGGGACGCUAAUACCGCAUACGUCCUACGGGAGAAAGCAGGGGACCUUCGGGCCUUGCGCUAUCAGAUGAGCCUAGGUCGGAUUAGCUAGUUGGUGAGGUAAUGGCUCACCAAGGCGACGAUCCGUAACUGGUCUGAGAGGAUGAUCAGUCACACUGGAACUGAGACACGGUCCAGACUCCUACGGGAGGCAGCAGUGGGGAAUAUUGGACAAUGGGCGAAAGCCUGAUCCAGCCAUGCCGCGUGUGUGAAGAAGGUCUUCGGAUUGUAAAGCACUUUAAGUUGGGAGGAAGGACAUUAACCUAAUACGUUGAUGUUUUGACGUUACCGACAGAAUAAGCACCGGCUAACUCUGUGCCAGCAGCCGCGGUAAUACAGAGGGUGCAAGCGUUAAUCNGAAUUACUGGGCGUAAAGCGCGCGUANGUGGUUUGUUAANUUGAAUGUGAAAUCCCCGGGCUCAACCUGGGAACUGCAUCCAAAACUGGCAA
rnacentral:rRNA from 1 species